GAGGCUGUGGCUUAACUGACAGAGCAUUUUUGUAUGCAGAAGAUCCCAGGUUCAAUCCCUGGCAUUUUGG